AUACGUAGGUGGCAAGCGUUGUCCGGAUUUACUGGGUGUAAAGGGCGUGUAGGCGGAGAUGCAAGUCAGGAGUGAAAUCUAGGGGCUCAACCCCUAAACUGCUUUUGAAACUGUAUCCCUUGAGUAUCGGAGAGGCAGGCGGAAUUCCUAGUGUAGCGGUGAAAUGCGUAGAUAUUAGGAGGAACACCAGUGGCGAAGGCGGCCUGCUGGACGACAACGGGCGCUGAGGCGCGAAAGCGUGGGGAGCAAACAGGAUGAGAUACCCUGGUAGUCCGCGCUGAAAACGAUGAAAACAGGUUGUGGGGGGACUGACCCCCUCCGUGCCGGAAUUAACACAAUAAGUAUUCCACCUGGGGAGUACGAUCGCAAGAUUGAAACUCAAAUGAAUUGACGGGG
rnacentral:rRNA from 1 species